CGAACGGGUGAGUAACACGUGGGCAACCUGCCCAAAAGAGGGGGAUAACACUUGGAAACAGGUGCUAAUACCGCAUAACCAUAGUUACCGCAUGGUAGCUAUGUAAAAGGUGGCUAUGCUACCGCUUUUGGAUGGGCCCGCGGCGCAUUAGCUAGUUGGUGGGGUAAAGGCUUACCAAGGCAAUGAUGCGUAGCCGAACUGAGAGGCUGAUCGGCCACAUUGGGACUGAGACACGGCCCAAACUCCUACGGGAGGCAGCAG
rnacentral:rRNA from 1 species